CCUACAGCUUGCUCUGUUGUUCCUGAUUAGCUCACACAGCUGGCAGUCCCUAUUUACUGCAACAGACAACUUCUUAAGUCUUCUCAUUGACCCACGUUGUGCUGUGUAUAUACAUACAAAAAGUUACAUAUUGGAGUAGUUAAAUAUUGCGUGAAAUGUCUCAAAAGUCUAAAAAUUUAAAGGAACCCCUCCUCUCCACCCUAAAAAAAGCCCCCUAGAUUCUGUUGAAAUUUGUCGAGCCUUGGAUUAGAUUGGAUUAAGAUCGUGCAAAUAUUCACAGAUCAAGUAUAUAGACAACAAGGUAUAUGAACAAAAUUAUAAACGCAACACUUUUGUUUUUGCCCCCAUUUUUCAUAAGC